GACGAACGCUGGCGGCGUGCUUAACACAUGCAAGUCGAACGGAAAGGCCCUGCUUUUGUGGGGUGCUCGAGUGGCGAACGGGUGAGUAACACGUGAGUAACCUGCCCUUGACUUUGGGAUAACUUCAGGAAACUGGGGCUAAUACCGGAUAGGAGCUCCUGCUGCAUGGUGGGGGUUGGAAAGUUUCGGCGGUUGGGGAUGGACUCGCGGCUUAUGAGCUUGUUGGUGGGGUAGUGGCUUACCAAGGCUUGGACGGGUAGCCGGCCUGAGAGGGUGACCGGCCACAUUGGGACUGAGAUACGGCCCAGACUCCUACGGGAGGCAGCAGUGGGGAAUAUUGCACAAUGGGCGGAAGCCUGAUGCAGCAACGCCGCGGUCGGGAUGACGGCCUUCGGGUUGUAAACCGCUUUCGCCUGUGACGAAGCGUGAGUGACGGUAAUGGGUAAAGAAGCACCGGCUAACUACGUG
rnacentral:rRNA from 1 species